rnacentral:rRNA from 1 species
UACGUAGGGUGCAAGCGUUGUCCGGAUUUAUUGGGCGUAAAGAGCUCGUAGGCGGUCUGUCGCGUCGGAUGUGAAAACCCAGGGCUCAACCCUGGGCCUGCAUUCGAUACGGGCAGACUAGAGUAUGGCAGGGGAGACUGGAAUUCCUGGUGUAGCGGUGGAAUGCGCAGAUAUCAGGAGGAACACCUAUAGCGAAGGCAGCUCGCUGGUACGACACUGACGCUAAGGCGCGAAAGCGUGGGGAGCGAACAGG